UUUGCUGGAUGUCUCCUCCUCUCCUUUCUGCUCCAUGUGUCAGGAUGUUCUUAACCCUCUUGUAGAGGCAGGGGAAACACCCUGGAACUGGGUCAAUUAAGGCAGAUUCCUUGAGUCUUCCCAGGGAUAACUGUUCCCCUGGCAUGGUUUAGUACCCGCCUUGGGGUUGGGGCUUCAAGCCCACUUUCUGGAAAUGGGAGGCUCCUCCCUAGCUUGCAUCUGCGGCCGUAUGUAUGACUGAGGACAGGCGAAACUUGGGGGCAUCUUAACACCAAGUCUCUGGACUCGGGCCUGCACGUAGGAUGCCUGCCAAAAGACUUUGGCAAUAUCUGAAGCCCCUGGCGGGGGUGGAGGAUGUUUGCCAGUUGUAGGGCCACUUAUGGUUUGGACUGACUCAUGAAUUUAGACUCGAUUUGGCUGGUUUGUCUUGGGACAUGAAACAUUUCUUUAAAAAAACCCCUAACUAAACAAAACAAAACCUGUUUUUAGAGGCGUUGGGUGUCGGCUGCAACUGAGGCUGGGGAUGGUGACAGGGCUGUGCUAAUGCUCCUGCUGGGACGACAGGCUCCUGGCUAGAGGGUCUUGUCCCUCUGCUCAGGGUCCCCGUGGGGAUGGUGGGACCUGCCGGGUGGGCACCAGUUCUCCGGCCCUGCGGGGUCCAGGGAGCUGCCCUCUAGCCCGCUGCUCUCUGUGUGUGCAGACCGUUCGUCGGAGGCUGAGGCAGAUACUGGGAAGAGCCAAGCUGGGAGCAGCUUGGGGACACGUGGAGGAGACACCACCACGCCAGUACACACAGCCCAGACCUGCAUGUCCUGCACCAUCCUGGAUCUCCGAGGAGCCCGAGGAAAUGGAGGACCCUGACGCUGCCUUCAUGCAACCUCCCAGCCAUGCUGCCGUGGGGGAUGCCUUCGUGGGGCCGUUGCUGUUGGCCUGCCUAAGGGAGACCUUUGUGCUUUUGCAGGAAGAUGGCGUGGCUCUCCCCAGCCCAGCCUGGCACCCUCUUAAGUCCCCACCAGGACAGGCAGAUGGGUGUCAGAGUCAGCCCAUGCCUGUGCCAGUGCUGGAGCCGGCGG